AUCAACUAGAUAUUAGGAAAAACUCUUUUAUUUCAUUUUGUUCCAGCACUUAGGUCUCCUCCGCCUCUUUCCAAAACAGACUCUCCUUUCCCUUUUCUCUCAAUUGGGAAAAGGGAAUCGCUCAAUCUCUCAAUCAAAAAGAGGUUCCUGGUUGGUUCUGAUAAAUGCUGCCAAAGGAUGCUCUACCGAUCCACCAGAUUUAUUGAAAUUUAAAGCAGACUUUGUUGUCUUCUCGUUCUAGAAUUGUCUUCUCGUUCUACAAGUUAUUGGGCUACCCAACUGGCCUUGGAGCUCUCAUUGUUCGAAAUGGUACGGUGGCUGCAGCAAUUGCUGAUGUUGACUUUUUCAAAAGAAGAGAAGGUGUAGAGGAAUUUUUUGCGGAUGGAACCAUUUAAUUCUUGAGCAUAUUAGCAAUUCAACAUGGGUUCAAAAUAAUUAGUAUACUAACAACAUCUUCGAUUUCCCGUUAUUAUCUAGUGAAAUGGGUCCUACUAUUUCAUUCAACAUAAAAAGACCAGAUGUAACAUGGUAUGGAUAUUGUGAGGUGGAAAAAUUGACAACCUUGGCAGGAAUUCAACUGCGGGUAAGAGUUCAAAGGCCAUAUUGUCUAUGAAGUACGAUUUUUGUUUUGUCAUCCCUGGGGACGAGAUGCUUGCUAUUUUAUGCUUCUAAAACACAUCCCAAGAGCAGCAUGAUACUACUGUUUCUGAUAUAAUGUGCUGCUUUCUUAUGUUAUCUUGUCUCAAUGUCAAGAAAGAUGACAUAACUUCCAAAAGGUCUCUUUUUAUGAUUUAUCAUUUGUCUUCACUUGUAUCUGGAUGUCUUGAUAUGCUUAGUAUGGCUUUAUGAAGUUUUGUAGUUAAGCUUCUGUUAGUUUAUCUAUGAUUUGUGAGUUUGGUCCUUCAGAUAUAAGGGUCCCUUACUCUUUUAAUAGCCUUCGUCACUGGUAGAUAUGUGAACUGUCACAUUUAGAGGAGUUGUUCAGUCCUCAGUUAUACUUUUUGGAAUGAGCGAAUAAUCUCAUCAUGUAGUAGUAACACUUAUACAUGGAAGACCACGAAUGAAUUGCAUUUGUACUAACAUGAUGAGGUUGGCGUGUCCUUGUUAUGUCUAAGAUUUUGUCCAUAAAUACUAAUUUUUUUUUUGUAUAUUUGGUUAUCAAUAAGCUUUACUGAUAUUAUUUUUCAUUCUAAUUAAAAUUAACCUGUUUGGCUAGAGAAAAUUUUAAGAGUAAACUAUCUGAAUAUGUGACAUGAAUUUGGUUGAGAAGUGUCUAAAAUAAGAGUUCAAAUGUGAAACAAAGAAGUAGUUCGGUAAAAGAUGUAACAUGUUCCAAAUGAUAGAAAGUAAUAGCAAAUCAUCUUAUCUGGAAAUGUCAGAGAAAGAAAAGUUUGCAAUAUAAGAAAAUGAGAAUUAUUUUUCAUAAUGCCUCUAAAGAAUGGUCUACCUUAAUUCUUAAAAGGGAUGGGGGAGGAUUAGUCAUCACAACUGGUAAAAUUAAUAAUUGAAGAUCUCAGAUAGUUAAUGUUGUUAUAUGCUAUGAUUAAACUUUUGCUUCCUUUUUCAUGUACUUCUAUAUAGACAGGAUGUUUUUGCAAUCCUAGUGCUUUUGCUAAAUAUCUUUGUUUGUCAAACUUAGAUCUUCUUUCAAACAUUAAGGUACGCAUUUCCUUUCCUAUCAUUUUAGUUGUUAUAUGGCAUCUAUUGCAUGCGAAAAAGAGACAACAAAUGGUAAUAAAUUCAAAUUAUCAUUUCAUUUAGGCUGGCCAUGUGUGCUGGAAUGAUCGUGACAUUUUACAUGAAAAAUCACUGGAGCAGUCAGAGUAUCUUUUUGAUUACAUGUCAACAUCUGAAGAUGCCAUGGUUAGCAACCCAUCACUCCCAACCCAAUCUCCUAAAGUGAAGAGUUGUUCCAUAUCUGGAGAUUUUGCUACGUUUGGUAUUGUGGAUGAUGUGAGUUCUUUUAGGUAUAGUUGGUAAAUGUUUGGUACUGUGAAUGUUUUGAACAUAAUUAUGUGGUAAGAUUUUGCUAUGCUUGGU